AGCUAAUCCCUUAAAGCCAUUCUCAGUUCGGAUUGUAGGCUGAAACUCGCCUACAUGAAGCUGGAGUUACUAGUAAUCGCAGAUCAGAAUGCUGCGGUGAAUGCGUUCCCGGGUCUUGUACACACCACCCGUCACACCACGGAAGUUGGGGGCGCCCGAAGCCACUUAGCUAACCCUUUUGGGAAGCGAGUGUCGAAGGUGAAAUCAAUAACUGGGGUGAAGUCGUAACAAGGUAUC
rnacentral:rRNA from 1 species